rnacentral:rRNA from 1 species
CAGCAGCCGCGGUAAUACGUAGGGUGCAAGCGUUAAUCGGAAUUACUGGGCGUAAAGCGUGCGCAGGCGGUUUGUUAAGACAGAUGUGAAAUCCCCGGGCUCAACCUGGGAACUGCAUUUGUGACUGGCAAGCUAGAGUGUGGCAGGGGGGGGUGGAAUUCCGCGUGUAGCAGUGAAAUGCGUAGAUAUGCGGAGGAACACCGAUGGCGAAGGCAGCCCCCUAGGCCAACACUGACGCUCAUGCACGAAAGCGUGGGAGCAAACAGGAUUAGAUACCCCCGUAGUCCCUGUCUCUUAUACC